rnacentral:rRNA from 1 species
UACGGGGGGGGCAAGCGUUGUUCGGAAUUACUGGGCGUAAAGGGCUCGUAGGCGGCCAACUAAGUCGGACGUGAAAUCCCCAGGCUCAACCUGGGAACUGCGUCUGAUACUGGAUGGCUUGAAUUCGGGAGAGGGAUGCAGAAUUCCAGGUGUAGCGGUGAAAUGCGUAGAUAUCAGAAGGAACAUCAGUGGCGAAAGCGGCUUCCUGGUCCAGUACCGACGUUCAGGCACGAAAGCGUGGGGAGCAAACAGG